rnacentral:rRNA from 1 species
AUUGAACGCUGGCGGCAUGCCUUACACAUGCAAGUCGAACGGCAGCACGGGAGCAAUCCUGGUGGCGAGUGGCGAACGGGUGAGUAAUAUAUCGGCACGUGCCCAGUCGUGGGGGAUACCGUAGCGAAAGCUACGCUAAUACCGCCUACGAUCUAUGGAUGAGAGCGGGGGAUCGCAAGCCCUCGCGCGAUUGGAGCGGCCGAUAUCAGAUUAGGUAGUUGGUGGGGUAAAGGCUCACCAAGCCGACGAUCUGUAGCUGGUCUGAGAGGACGACCAGCCACACUGGGACUGAGACACGGCCCAGACUCCUACGGGAGGCAGCAGUGGGGAAUUUUGGACAAUGGGCGCAAGCCUGAUCCAGCAAUGCCGCGUGCAGGAUGAAGGCCUUCGGGUUGUAAACUGCUUUUGUACGGAGCGAAAAGGCUCUCUCUAAUACAGGGGGCUCAUGACGGUACCGUAAGAAUAAGCACCGGCUAACUACGUGCCAGCCGCCGCUGUAAAAC